CCAAUUUGUCUCUCUCUAGAAUCAUCCCCCAAUAGCCUCUCUCUAGAAUCACCAACCCAAAAACUCCCAAAACAUAAAGGAAGAAUUGGUCUUCUUCAGAUCUUUUGCAUCAUAUAUUCCAUCACUAUCUCACAAAUCUACCAUUACGUUCGAGUAAUGUAUCGACUAAAUCAAAAGGUUCAGGCACCAAUCACAACGGGCUUGCACACCAAUUCCAAAUGUAUUGACGUGAACACCCAUGUGAAGGACAAUGGAAAAAGGCCAUUGAAGAUGUAGCUCCAGACCCAAGCACAAAAAAGAAAAAGAUCGCGACACCACACAGGUUAGGCACAUUUCAAUUUAACAAAAUCAGGAAUUGUACGGUAUGUUCAUUUUUUGUUGAAAAUGAAAUUAUAUCAAUUUUAUAUUUGAGAUAACUAACCCCAUUGUGUAUAUUUUUCACUUGCAAAACAUACAAAAAAUUUAACAUGUCUUUGGAAUUACAAAAACUAGAAAAGACGAUUUCCAUUAACAAACUGCAGAAGUUGGGGGAAUUGUAGAAAAUUGUAUGUUGUUUUAAUUACCGAAUGUAAUUAGACACGAUUAAGGAUUAAGAGUUUAUUUUUUAUUUUUAUUUUUAUUUAUUUAUUUAUUUAUUUAUUUAUUUUAGUUAAGUCUACUCAAGCGUAUUACAUAUGUAAAAAGUGUUUUAGAUGGGUUGGAUCAUAUAUAGUUAUAUGGUGACUAAUGAAGUCAAUAGAAUAUAUGAAAAUACAUUAAAGACGUAUGAUAAAGUGUACUGGAUAAUAUAUGACAUUACACAAAUUAACUAUUCUAUCAAGUUCACUUUACAUGUCAUAGAACAUGAAUUGAUUUGAUUUAAUUACCUAAUGAUAGUUUUUUGAACUUUGAGAAUGAGCUAGAAUAUUGUGAUAGUUUUGUUGUUAGCUUACCGUCAUCGUUAUAUGCUCUUAUGAUUUACUAUGAGAUAUUUUUUAUCCAACUUAUUAUUUCAAUUUCAAAGCCAUCAGCAGUUGAAUAUUAUUUUUUAAAUAGUUUUGAUCCACUUAAUGAUCCACUCUCACACUCACCGCUUGACAAUCUGCAUUUGCAUGUAUGGUUUUAUAUAAGCUAAUAUAUUCUGGACAAGAUACUUUACAAUUUCAAUAAGGUAUGACUAAAUACUCUCAUAUAAGACAUCUCAGAUACGUUUACUUGUUUAUACCGUUCUUUAAUUUGAAUUUUCUCUAUCAUAUUUUUUUCCUUGACUUCUUAUUUUUAUUAUUAUUAUUUUUAUUUUUUCUAGGUAGAAGUUCUAUUGCCCCAUUCUAGCGAUGAGGAGUUGCAUGCACCAUAUUUCAUUCGGCUACCUAUUAGGGAACUCAUGUUUAAACCAAUUGCUACUUGUCAUCGUGAUUCAGCCGUUGUUGUCAAGUAAACCGAAAUAUUUGAUUCUCACUAAUAUAUUCCACGUUGAGUUCCAUGACUAUACUGUUCACUUCCUCAACCUCAUCGUCAUACAUCUCAACUGUUGAUAUGUCAAUUCUUGAAAUCAAAUCACUAAUUUUGGGAAUUUAGGAUGACAAUCUCAAGUAGGGGAAGGUGUGGAUGAAUGUAAUGAUUUGAAUGCACAAUUUAAUCACUUGUCGUAUACAACCUGGAUUCUGUGAGUGUAGAAGGCGCCGUCUCCACCACACUAACACGUAAUGCAUAGAUGGUCAUGAAUGAAAGCUGUCAUUUGUUAUUCGAAUUGGUGACAUCCCUACAUCAGCAAUGUAUUCAAUCUUGACAUCUAAAACUCUCUUGUCAACCUUUAUUUCAUCAACUAUCAUUUCAGCCAGUUGAAUGUACUUGCAACUUACAACCAAAUGGAACAAGAAGCCCAAACAUUUCUGCCCCAUACAUUACAAAGAUGUUUGUAUAAUCCAUUCUUGUAUUACAGAAUCACUGAUUAGUUUAUUAUGUAUAUAAAUAUUUAGUAAUACAAGACAAAAAGUAGCAUAUGUGUCAUCUUAUAGUUAUUCAUAUAUUUUUGGCCAAACAGAAAAUGAUG
rnacentral:lncRNA from 1 species